rnacentral:rRNA from 1 species
CAGAACGAACGCUGGCGGCGCGCUUAAGCAUGCAAGGUCGAACGGCAAGAGGUAGCAAUACCUCCUAGAGUGGCGGACUGGUGAGUAACACGUGGGUGACAUACCCUUCAGAUGGGGAUAGCUAUUAGAAAUAGUAGAUAAUACCGAAUACGAGCACAGGGGUUAGAGAUCUGUGAGGAAAGGAGCUAAGGCUCCGCUGAAGGAAUGGCCUGCGGCCCAUUAGCUAGUUGGUGAGGUAAGAGCCCACCAAGGCGAUGAUGGGUAUCCGGCCUUAGAGGGUGAACGGACACAUUGGGACUGAGAUACGGCCCAGACUCCUACGGGAGGCAGCAGCUAAGAAUAUUCCGCAAUGGACGAAAGUCUGACGGAGCGACGCCGCGUGGAUGAAGAAGGCCGGAAGGUUGUAAAAUCCUUUUGAAACUGAAGAAUAAGCGUUGUAGGGAAUGACAGCGUGGUGACAGUAGGUUUUGAAUAAGCAACGGCUAAUUACGUGCCAGCAGCCGC